rnacentral:rRNA from 1 species
CCUACGGGUGGCAGCAGUGGGGAAUAUUGGGCAAUGGGCGCAAGCCUGACCCAGCAACGCCGCGUGAAGGAAGAAGGCCCUCGGGUUGUAAACUUCUUUUAUCAAGGACGAAACAAAUGACGGUACUUGAUGAAUAAGCCACGGCUAACUACGUGCCAGCAGCCGCGGUAAUACGUAGGUGGCAAGCGUUGUCCGGAUUUAUUGGGCGUAAAGCGAGUGCAGGCGGUUCAAUAAGUCUGAUGUGAAAGCCUUCGGCUCAACCGGAGAAUUGCAUCAGAAACUGUUGAACUUGAGUGCAGAAGAGGAGAGUGGAACUCCAGGUGUAGCGGUGGAAUGCGUAGAUAUAUGGAAGAACACCGAUUGCGAAGGCAGCUUACUAAACUGUGACUGACAUUGAUGCUCGAAAGUGUGGGUAUCAAACAGGAUUAGAUACCCGAGUAGUC